GAUGUUUGGCAAAGUUUUCAUCAUUAUGCAACUUUGUUAGUGAAAACAAGUUAAGUAUGUCGAUUAUAAAACACUUAUCUGCACAUUUUGAAAAUUAGAUGUUAUAUAUUUUAUAGAAAUAGAUAAUAUUUGUUAAUUUGUGUUACUGUUUUAUUUAGAGUUUUUGCAUCUCUGCUUACAAAAGACAUUGGCCCAUAUUGUAUUCACUUCUUCCUCUCUCUCUCUCUCUGGCUUUGACCAUUCACAUGGAGGUAACUGAAUGGAAACAAGGGGUCAUAAACUUAGAAGAGAGCUGGAUACCUAAUUUAUAAAGUACUAGGGAAGAAGAAGCCAUGCAAUAGAAAGACUUCAGUCUCUGACACUGUGUAGAAGACCUUGGUCCCCAAUACUAGGAUCCUUGAUCUGCUCUUAUUCUUUUCCCCUCAAGCAUAUGUCUUUGUUAUGGACAGCUCUCUGGGAAUAUUUCACCAUGAUUACUCUUCCCCUUUCUGUGCCAAAGCCACAAGAGGAUUUUCUUGGAUCUUCACUGUGAGACAAGCUGGGUUUCAGGAACUUAAAGCUCACUGAAGACCCAUAAAGCUGUGGUUCCACACGUUUCUCCCUCUCAUCCUGGUUCAUAUUCAGUCUCCAGUUUUUCCUCAAAAUCACCCUUUAAGUGUCCCUAUUGGAUUACGGCACCAGCAGCUUCCGCUUCAGUUCAUGAAUAAAUCUCAGCUGUGACUCUGUAUUUGCCUGCCUCACCAACAUUCAGAGUGGGAGUUUGCCCUGCAGUCUCUGUUCUCUGAUGGGUCCAUGGAAAAUCAUCAAUUUUAAGUGCAUUUAUCUUCAUCAAUAUAAAGACAGGAAUGACCUCCAAGUCCUUUAUAUAUUGGAAAUGAAAUCAACAGUCCUAUUUUAAUUUUCUAUCCUAUAGAUAAUUCUUCCCAUCACAUGAACUAACUGCUCUUAUCCAUACCUAUUGUGUCAGCCUCACAUGUUUGCAACGUACCAUGGAGUAAGAAUACAUGUCAGUCCUUCUCUCCUAAUGUGGAACAAAAUCACCCACAGAAGUCAAGCCCUUGGAGAUUUUCUGAAAAACAAACAAAUGCUGUGUCUAGAAAGCAGGGGUGACCAUGAAUAGAGGACUUGGUCCUGCGAACCAAAGAAAGAGGAACAUUGUCUUCUUAAAAAUUUUUUUUUUCUAACUGAGCUUAAGAUAUUCACCUCAACUGAUUUAUGAGAGUGUAGGUGGAAGCAAGGGCAAGGGUUGGAUUUCCUCAAGCAUGUUCUCAUGCCCGUAUAUGUUGCUCUUACUGCACUGAUUUGGAGCUAAGGGUGUGUCUUACAAAUGCUUAGGGCAUGUUCCUGUAAUAUUUCAUUAUGUGCCAAAGCAGUCAUCAUCUCCUGCAAAGUAGCAGUGUCUAGAAACAAGUUAUCAUUAGGAAAUAAUAAAGGCUAUUCAUUUUAUUGACAUCUAAAAUGCAUGAGAACAUUUAUGACCAAACUCAUAUAUUUUUCUCAUCAUGAAUAUGUGGCAUUAAUUAUCAAGCCUGCUCCAGGGAUAGACAUGUUUAUAACAUUAUGAAACAGAUCUUUCUUCUAAGUUAAGGAUGUUUGCAUUUGGAAGGAAAUUACUGUGCCGGUUAAUUUGGCCCAGUCUCUGAUGACAUCUUUCUGCAACCAUCAAUAUUUUUCUCCAUGGGUAGCAUUUAAAAAAUACUUGAUAUUACAUUCUAAACAAUGCUGGUAGGAAACUGUGUUUAAUAUUUUAAAUUAUUACAAUUGAGGCAUUACUUAACUAGAAAAAGCUAUCUGAGUUAUAUUUCAUUUGAAAAACAAUAUGACAUGUAGUAAAGGAAAAAAAUAGUUUAUAAUAGUUACUACUACCUCAUUUAAGAUAU